AUUAAAAACCAAUGCCCUUUGGGCUCACUGGUGAUUCAUGAUAACUUCUCGAAUCGCAUGGCCUUGCGCCGGCGAUGGUUCAUUCAAAUUUCUGCCCUAUCAACUUUCGACGGCUGGGUCUUGGCCAGCCAUGGUGACAACGGGUAACGGAGGGUUAGGGCUCGACCCCGGAGAAGGAGCCUGAGAAACGGCUACUACAUCCAAGGAAGGCAGCAGGCGCGCAAAUUACCCAAUCCCGACACGGGGAGGUAGUGACAAUACAUACUGAUACAGGGCUCUUUUGGGUCUUGUAAUUGGAAUGAGUACAAUUUAAAUCCCUUAACGAGGAACAAUUGGAGGGCAAGUCUGGUGCCAGCAGCCGCGGUAAUUCCAGCUCCAAUAGCGUAUAUUAAAGUUGUUGCGGUUAAAAAGCUCGUAGUUGAACCUUGGGCCUGGCUGGCCGGUCCGCCUCACCGCGUGCACUGGUACGGUCGGGCCUUUCCCUCUGGGGAACCGCAUGCCCUUCACU
rnacentral:rRNA from 1 species